GUGUAGCAGAGAAGGGGACCAUCACAGAAGAGAAGGGCUUCCCGAGCCCCUGCAGCUCUGUGGCUUCAUCUGAGUACUGAUCUGCUCCUGUUACUUGCCUGUUACAUUUCCCGCAGAAGGUCAGCCAGACGGCAACAGGCUUUCUGUCUGUUUUGUUCUCUGCAGCACAUAGAGUGGCGUCUGACACACAAGAUAUGAAAAUUGGCUGCAGCUAGCUCGUCCUCAAUUCUUCUUUCAAGGCCAUGCUCAUCGCCAUGCAUCAGAUUUAAUGGAAACGCUAAUAAAGGGAUGGAAAUGUCUCGGCUUAUUUCAUUACCAUCGAAGCAACAUAAAAGCCCGCACCUCCACGUAACUUAGAUAACCCUGAAACUCUACCUCGGAGGCUUGUGUGGGAAACCUCGCCCCUCGGAGGCUUCCUGAGGGCUUCCUCUGAAGUCGAAGUUUGAAGAGAGCAUCAUUGCUUGACAAUAAAUAUUUCCCAAGC
ensembl:lincRNA Gm14272 predicted gene 14272